rnacentral:lncRNA from 1 species
CGCUUACCUCACAGAGAACUUCUGGGUUCUCCAGGCAUCAUGGUUCCCCAAAAUGAUUGCUUUUGGAAAAUCGAGAUUCGAAAUGCUUCGAACAAGAUCAACGUUCUCAUUACCAAAAUCACCUGAACAAACUCCAACACGAUAAUAAGCAAAACAAAAUAAGCUUACACAAAUGCCGAAUCCAUAGAUAGAUAGUACAGAAGGUGGGAAACAAGACCUGCCUGUAAAAAGCACCAGAUCCGGCUGCAUUUCCCCAGAAACACAAAUUACAAAAAAAUAUAAGAAACGACAGAGAGCAACAAUUGUGAAACGUAGACAAUUGAAUCGAAUAAGGCAAUCUACAUUUUGAAUACAGUAGUUAUACUUAUAUUGGCAAUAAAAUGGAAUAAAAUUCCUACUCAACU